rnacentral:rRNA from 1 species
GCUUAAUUCGGUCGCGCAACCGCGUGAAUACGUAGGUUCCAAGGUUUAUCCUGAUUUAUUAGGUUUAAAGCGUGCGUAGGCGGCUUAUUAAGUCAGGGGUGAAAGACGGUUGCGUAACUAUCGCAGGGCCUUUGAUACUGAUGGGCUUGAAUACACUAGAGGUAGGCGGAAUGUGACAAGUAGCGGUGAAAUGCAUAGAUAUGUCACAGAACACCAAUUGCGAAGGCAGCUUACUAUGGUGCAAUUGACGCUGAGGCACGAAAGCGUGGGGAUCAAACAGGAUUAGAUACCCCAGUAGUC